GACGAACGCUGGCGGCGUGCUUAACACAUGCAAGUCGAGCGGUAAGGCCCUUUCGGGGGUACACGAGCGGCGAACGGGUGAGUAACACGUGGGUGACCUGCCCUCAGCUCUGGGAUAAGCCUGGGAAACUGGGUCUAAUACCGGAUAUGACUCCAUGACGCAUGUUGUGGGGUGGAAAGCCUUGUGCGGCUGAGGAUGGGCCCGCGGCCUAUCAGCUUGUUGGUGGGGUGANGGCCUACCAAGGCGACGACGGGUAGCCGGCCUGAGAGGGCGACCGGCCACACUGGGACUGAGACACGGCCCAGACUCCUACGGGAGGCAGCAGUGGGGAAUCUUGCGCAAUGGGCGAAAGCCUGACGCAGCGACGCCGCGUGAGGGAUGACGGCCUGG
rnacentral:rRNA from 1 species